UGUUGUGCCCAUUUACAAGAAAGGUAAUAGGGAGGAGUCGGGCAACUAUAGGCCAGUAAGCCUUACUUCAGUAGUGGGGAAAGUGAUGGAAACCAUGUUAAAGGAUAAGAUUGAUGAACAUCUAAAAACACAUGGAUUUCAAGAUCAGAGACAACAUGGGUUUACUUCAGGGAGAUCAUGCCAAACUAAUCUUAUUGAUUUUUUUGAUUG